rnacentral:rRNA from 1 species
AGAACGAACGCUGGCGGCGUGGAUAAGACAUGCAAGUCGAACGGGACUCUGGAUGUAGCAAUACAAACAGGGUCCAGUGGCGCAAGGGUGCGUAACACGUGGGCAACCUGCCGGGAAAUGGGGGAUAGCUCGCCGAAAGGCGAAUUAAUACCGCAUGUGAUCAUCUCUCGCAUGAGAGAGACAUUAAAGCUGGGGAUCGUAAGACCUGGCGUUUCCCGAUGGGCCCGCGGCCUAUCAGCUUGUUGGCGGGUAACGCCCACAAGGCUCUGACGGUAGCUGGUCUGAGAGGACGACCAGCCACACUGGAACUGAGACACGGUCCAGACACCUACGGGUGCAGCAGUCGAGAAUCUUCACAAUGGGAAACCUGAUGGAGCGACGCCGCGUGGAGGAUGAAGUCUUCGGAUUGUAAACUCCUGUCAUGAGAGAACAAAGACUCACGGCUAAUACCUGUGAGACUGAUAGUAUUCAAGA